GAUGAACGCUGGCGGCGUGCUUAACGCAUGCAAGUCGAACGGUGAAGCAGGAGCUUGCUCCUGUGGAUCAGUGGCGAACGGGUGAGUAACACGUGAGCAAUCUGCCCUGGACUCUGGGAUAAGCGUUGGAAACGACGUCUAAUACCGGAUACGAGGCGUGGGGGCAUCCCCAACGCCUGGAAAGAACUUCGGUCCAGGAUGAGCUCGCGGCCUAUCAGGUAGUUGGUGUGGUAACGGCUCACCAAGCCUACGACGGGUAGCCGGCCAGGGAGGGUGACCGGCGACACUGGGACGGAGACACUGCUCAGACUCCUACGUUAGGCAGCAGUUGGGAAUAUUGCACGAUGGUGGCAAGCCUGAUGCAUCAACGCCGCGUGAGGAACGACGGCCUUCGGGUUGUAUACCUCUAUUAGCAGGGAAGAAGCGAAAGUGACGGUACCUGCAGAAAAAGCACCGGCUAACUACGUGCCAGCCGCCGCAGUAACAC
rnacentral:rRNA from 1 species